CCCAGAAAAUCCCCUUGGUGCCUCGCUUUCAGCUUUCCCCUUCUUUUGCGGGAUGCAGAUGUAAACUCAACAGAAACAGGACCAUCGUAAACUUAGGCGAGUCUGUGAAGGAGCGUCUUAAUGAGAAAUUUCUCCUUGCGCUAAACGAAAUCUGCAAUUCUUUAUUGCAUGGCAUAACACGUAUUUCUUCUCCCUCCUCUCUAAAGUAAGCCCCUCUCCUCCUUCUCCUCACUCUCUCCGUCUCUCUCUCCCAUGUACAUCUCCGUCUCAGUCUCUCUCUCUCUCUCUCUUCCUCCCUUAUUCUUAACUCUCCCGUGAACAUCUCCUCUCACUCCCCCUUUUCUCUAUUUUCCUCGAUUCAGUAGCAAGUGAACAAGAUAAUUUAUUGUCUGUUUUUUUCUCUAUUUCUCUAUGUCUCUCUAUCAAGACAACAUUAGUUAGAGCUUUAUGCUUCGAUGAGAUAAGUUUCUGUAAAUCUUAACCCUAAAUGCUAACAUUUUUGCCUUUCUCUCUCAUCUCUCUCGUCUCUCUUCCAUAUGCAUUUGUGUCUCUCUUCCUACCUCUUGUGUCUCUUUCACUUCCUCGCUCUUUUCCCCCCUCCCUCCCUCUCUCUUGACUUCUUUCCCCCCUCAUCCGUCUCUACUUCUCUGUUAUUUAUUUAUUUAUUUAUUUUUGUUUAUAGGUUUUCCUCUUUUCUGUUAUGGUUUUGUGUGCCUUGGUCUCCGUGGUGGUGGCAUUGUCUAUGGGGCUUCUAAGUUUGGCCUCUUUGUAUGGUCGACGAAACCGUUUACAUGGGGAAAUCGGAUUUGCUCCUCAAUACGCCUCACAUUGACGGAACUGUUUACUCUGUCUCCGUCUACUGGAUCGUUUAAUCAAGAAAGUAAAUUUGAAAGAGAGGGAAAUAGACAGCGAGUUGGUGGUUCCCAAGCCGAGUGAGUUCUGCUUGCAUUUUGAUUUCGUCGUAGACAAAGCAGCAGCAACGGAAUAAAAUGGAGGCAAAGUGACUCUUUGAGUGAGUUUGGAUUGCAGUUCGCAGAGAGCGGACAUGCUGACUCACCAACCAACACAACCCACAUUCGAAAGGCAUCAUUUCAGACGUGUCGUGAAGCGAAUGAAGGCAUGGGGUUUCUCUACAUUUUCACCUGCCUCCCCUUCUCCUCCAUGUUUUUUCUCAAAUCAACUCCAAUAUCCGUCACGUCCCACCUCUGUCUCUGUCUCUCUGUUAACAUACCAGACCACCUGUAAACCAACGGAUUCCAAUUUCAUCUUCUCUCUCUGAUUCUCUGUAGGCAUGGGGUUUCUUUACAUUGUCAUCCGCAUUUGCUUCUCCUUCGUGUUUUUUUCUCAAACCGACUCCAUUACCUAUCACGGCUUCACCACCUUUGUCUCUUUGUUACCCCUACUAGAUCACCUGUUAACCAACUGAUUCCAGUUCCAUCUUCUCUCUGCUUCUUUGUAGUUUCGUUUCGCCUGUACUUGGUUGGGGGUUAGCAUGGGAGACCAGCAUGGGCUUUUUUUUCAUGUCUUUCUUGUUAGUAGACUAUUUUAUUGUUUUUUCUAGGUGAGUUUUGGUGCAGGUGUCAAGUGCCACAACCACCUUUGCUAUGACAUUCUCUUCAUCUAUGUCUAUUGUAGAAUAUUACCUUCUGAAGCGUUUCUCUCGAUAUGGUAAGUAAAACCACUAUAGUCUCUAUUAUUAUUAUUGAUUCUGUUCUGCCCCUUUUUGAAGGUCGAGAACAGUUCUUGACCCCAAAAAUAAAGAGAGAAAAAUAUGUAUUUGGGUGUACAUAUGCAUUUGUGGCAGCCGUUGCUGCCUUUAUAGGGCAACAUGUAGUGAGGUGGCUUAUCAUUGUAUUAGGGGGGGCAUCCCUCAUCAUCUUCAUCCUCUCCAUCACAAUCUUUGUCACUGCAAUCUCACUAGGUGAGUAUCAUUUGCGAAAAAGUGGUUUUAAGUAUUAACAUCUUCAUUUGUAUGCAAUAAGGUUGUCUUUGGAUUGUGGGGCAGAAGUGGAAAAGCAGCUUAGAUGCUGCAAUUCAGUGGAAAAUGAGAAUUGACUACUCCCUUCCCAAGUUAUUAUUACCAUCCAUUAUAAUGAUAGAUAAAAACAUGACUAAUAGUAAUAAUCUGUUAUUCUCUAUGAUUUAGAGCUGAGUGGUGAAGGAGAUUUUUCAACUCCUUUUCAACCACAUAUUUCUGCUUUUGCUCUAAUGCAAACAAGCUUAACUGAAAGACCAAACGAACUAUUCUUCUACAUUCACCCUCAAAAAAUUGAGCUUCUUUAGUACUGAAGGCUCUUUAUUUUAUUUAACAGGUGGAGUCGGUAUAUCAAAUAUGAUUUAUAAGAUUGAGAAGAAUGAGUACAUGGGUUUUGAGAACCUCUGCAAGUUACCAUCAAACCCCAAUCUCCCCGUGUCUAACCUGUGACACAUGGUAUUUUAUGAUCUAUCUUUGCCAAAUGGUUUCAGUUCUCUGCUUGGGUUUCUAAUCCAGCCCCUGCAAAGCAGGUGCCCCUCCGCUGGUAUAUACUUAUUAUGGAACGGGUGGUUUCUCCUUGYGCUAAAUGGAAUCUACUCGUGCGAGUAGAUUAGCGCUCUCACGUGCAGAUAUUUUGUACGUGUAAAAAACAUCUGUUUGUUCAACCAAGGGUUUGAUUCACGAGCAUACAGACCUUCGAGUCAGGAGAGCUUCGAGGUAAGAAUGGGAGAACAGUGAGCGUCGAGUAAGAAAUCCAACGGCGAGCUUCGAGGAAGAAAUUGAGGAAGACCAUCUCGUUUCAGCUGUGCCUCCCGUAGAAAACCCUACUGCUCUUUGAUUCGCUGUUACUGCAACCCUGUAAGGUUUCUGGAGACGGAUCUGUUCCCUUCCAAGGUCUGAUAGUAAUUGAGUUUCAAAGUGACAAGGUUAUAUUUGCUUCACAAUACCAAUGCAUGGCAAGAAGCAACAUUGAAGCUGAAUGGUGRKYAGUUAUAGGAGCCAUGGACUUGUUAUGAAAUAGAUGAACCAGCCGCAAUUGGAAUGCCAUUGGGCUGAGAGGAUACUUAAGAUUGUGAAGAACAUGAUUUCUGUUUUAUUUUUCUUGCCAAGUAAAGAUGAAUAACAUUAUUUCUGUUUUUGAUGUAUAUAAAAUCUUACUUGUCAGUAGGAUAGACAAUGAUAUAGCUCAUCAUAUUUUUGCCUUUUUUUGCUUGUAAUUAUAAGAUGGAUCUAUGUUUCGACAUMCCUGAGUAGGGAAUUCUUGUAAAUACAUUGUCAUCUUUACUAAAAAGGUUGAUGUUUAAAAAAAAAAGAUUUGUUCCUUUA